UAGACCACCACCCUGGGAUUGGA
rnacentral:misc_RNA from 1 species